CCGCGGCGAUGACUGGGCCACCCCCUGGCCUUCCUUCUCUCAGCCCUCAGGUCCCGAGAGCCCCGGCCCAGAGCGGCCUCUGCUGGACAGUCAAGACACGAGACCCUGGGUUCAGCAAAUGUUUGCAGCGCCUUGCACUGUGCUGGGAACUAGGGAUGCAAAGAAAUGUGAGCACAUCUCUGCCCUUAGGAAUCUAGCUCAGCUUUUCCUACAUGAGCUUACAGCCUUUAAAAAGGUGACCUUAUGCCAUUUUAGGAGUUCCCUCGGAGAACCGGCACAUGUUCCAAGAAUGAGGACCUUCUUCAUUUGUCAAAACACUUCUGCGUGUACAUCAUUAAACCCUCAUCCACAUUAAACCCGGCUGAGCUUCCUGGGGCCCGAACCAGGAUGUCUGCCGCUGCAUUCAGCUUCUUACUAGAAGAAAAUACUGUCGGGGGGAUAACUAAGCCAGACACCCUACUAGGCGUUGUUUCAUGAAUCCUUCUAAGAAUUAUUAUUAUUCCAUUUUACAGGUGAGAAAAUGAAGGCACAGAGAAGACAAUGUUCUCAAGGUCGCAUAACUGGUAAGAAUAGUUUGUGCACUAGGCCCAUAAUAAAGGCUGACGUUUCCUGAGUGAUUGCUAUGUGCUAGGCACUGGACAACGUGCUGUUCAGGAAUCAACCAAGUCAUUUAGUUCUCACAACAAUCCUUGGAGAUUAUAUCCUCGUUUUCAGGGGAGAAAGUAGAAGCACAGAGAAGUUUAACUUGCCCGAGUUCACACAACUCGCAAGUAAUGAUAAGAUGCCUGCCCAGGCACCCCGCUCAGCCUCUGUACUCUACUCCCUCUCAAGAGCCCAAAGCUUCUCCAAAGCCUACAGAUUAGAACUGACCUUUCAUUCAGUUCCCUCCCUGCUCUUGCUACACUUUAGGCUUGCUUAAUUCUCACACUUCGAUCAAAGCAGAUGCCAGGUUCUCUCCCAAUUCUGUUAUUAAUGAACCUAUUGGUCCCCUAGUCACUAGAGCUGGGGCACUGCAGGAGUUAACAAGCCUUUGUAAAGAAAUGAUUUGCGUGGAAGGCAGCUUUCUUUUUUCUGUAAUAUCUUCUUCAUAUGCCAUGGGCUCUGUUCUCACUUCUUUCUCACAUACCAGAAGCUGACUCUAGGAGUCCUGAGCACCUUAUCUAUGGUCAAUUCCUCUGCCUGACUCUAUCACACUACCACUUGUAGAUUUUGCUCACACUUCCACAACCAGAUUAAAUUUGGAUCAUAUUUUUUUCUCUUUGUUUUGGUAAAUCUAGUAAUUUCUGUUGGAAUGAGAAACAAAAAAUACUCAGACCAAGUGCCCAUCCCCUCUCCAUCCUCCCUGGCCAGAUAAACUGCAAAUUCAAUUUGUUCAGCAUGUUCUCUGAAUGCUUUUGACUUCAAGGCCCUUCCGGUUUCUAGGGUAAUCUAUGUGAUUAGGAACAAUUUCUGCAUCUGGGUUUUGGUUGUCAUGGAUGCAGGGACCACACACAGAUGGAGUUAUGCAGCGACAUUCUAUCAGGCAUUAGCCCCUUUAAAUAGGGCAGGUUAAGUAAGUGACUCUAUGGCAGAAAUAUAGGUUUUUGAAGACCACUUCACAGAAAAAAUUUAUUCAAUUGAAAUUCAGCAAAACUUGAAGGAGUCUUUCUGGAGUGCGAAGCAUGUGCAACUCUAACCUUGAUAUCUAAGAUAAUGGUUUGGUACUCAAAGAAUCAUGACCCCUACACACUAAUCAGUGAAAAUUUCCAAAACUUUUCUAUUGUACGCAGGAUAGAGUUGAAAUAAUUUCUUUGAUUAAAAUAGUUCAUUUUAAUUGCUGAUUAAAAAUUUUAAUUUAUUAAUUAAUUUAGUCAGAGCAUAUUUAAUCACUUAUUUUACGCCAGCCCUUAUGCUAGGCAAUGGAAAUACAAUGGUUGUAAUAGCCAGGGUAGUGUAGGUUAUGCUGCUGUAACAAACCAGCCCAAAGUCUCCCAAGCUUAAGCGAUAAUGGUUUAUUUUUUGCUCAUCAAAGUCUGCUAUGGAUCCAGGUUACUCCUCAGAGUAGCUGUCCUCAGGAUCAGUGUUGUACCGCCAUAUCGAAACCUGCUUUUGUUACAGUAGGUAGCUAGAUAGGCAUGAGUGGGGCAGCAGAGGGCUCCCCCCACACCCCACCAGGAAAGUCAGGUAACCAUCAUGUGAUGGCCAGGCAGUUAUUAACUGUCUCUCUAAAAUAAUAAUUGGUUACAGCUGGCACGAGGGACUGACCAUCUCCCCAUAAAUAGGGAACACAUGAAACUGGUAAUCAGCAGCUUCCAAUAAGAUCUCAGGAGGUGGGUGACUGAACUCAAGCAUGUGCAUUAAGAUGCAAAAUGGUGGAGUUUAACUGGUAUAUGACCUUCUGGGGGCAUUAAAGCAAUGCAAGACGCCAGAAGUAGACCAGCAUGUAAAACCCUAAGUGCAAGGUCAAAUGGGGCACUUGACGUCCAAGAUGCCCUCUUAGGCCUCUUCCAACUGUGCUUUCCUUUCUUGCUGCUCUAAAGCUUUUUAAUUAACUUCCACUCUUGCUCUGAAACUUGCCUCAGUCUCUUAUUCUGCCUUAUGCCCCUCAAUUAUAUUCUUCCUUCCGAGGCAAGAAUUGAGGUUGCUGCAGUCUCUGCCGGUGACUCAAAUAACUUCCACCUCUAACAGUUUCACAUCCACCUCUAACAGUUUCACAUCCACUGAGUUAGGGAAAGAGAGAAGUGGAGAAUUAAGUAUUUAAAUCUUCCACCUAAAAGUGACAAUUCUGUUCAUAUUUUAUGGGCUAAGGCAAGUCAAUGGCCAUGCCCAACUUCAAGAAAGCAAGAAAGCAUGUUAUUUUUGCGUGCUCAGAUAGAGACGAGAACUCUAUAGCAGGGAACAUUGUGAUAUGUGCCACAGGGGCUAAUUGUCCCUGCACCAGGAAACUUAUUUUCUAGUAGUGGGGAGUUAAACAUUGAAUGAAUAAUCACAAAGACAUAUGCAAUAACAUUAUAUUAAAUGCUACAAUAAUAAUAAUGAUGAAAAUUUAUUAAUUGUUUCAAGCAUUUUAUGUACAGUCAUGUGUUUACAUUUCUACACUCUAACUUUGUGAGAUAGAUACUGUAGAAGACCAGAAUGUGCCACUUCAGAAUAUGCCUUUUCAGUAUAAGCAUUUGUUUGAGAAACAGCAGCUAUAGGAGCAACUCUGAGAACAGAGUGGAAUUACCUUUUUGUAGGGUGAAUUUAAAUCUAUAAAGGAAAUUUUCAUUUGUAAAAAUGUCUUCCUCUGAAUUCUAGGAAGAAAAGGAUGGCACUAAAUUACUGGAAACUCUUAUCAAUGGAGAGGGCUCUGACUUAAAUACGCAUAACAAACUUUACCUUUGUUUGCCAUGCUUUACCUGGUCACUUCCUCAUAACUGCACCCCUACCCCCAUACUCCUCUUUCUUUGUUUCAGCUGAAGAUGAUAUUUAAGUUUGAAUUCAAAGUCACCUCUUUGAAAAUUACUAAUUCCCUGACUAUCUCCUGUACAUAUAUAUGAAAUAUACAUGUUAAUAACCUCGUGGGGUUUUUGUUGUUGUUAAUCUGUCUUUUGUUAUAGGGGAUCCCAGCUUAGAACUCAUAAGGGGUAGAGAGAAAAAUUAUCUUUUCUCCCCCCAAAUACUAUUAUUAUCCAAAUGUUACAAAGUAAGAAACUGAGAAAUACUUAUACAGAAUAAAACUUUGAAGGAAACUAAGGGAUUCAAUGAGAUAUAAUAGCAGGGGAACUAGUACUCCUCAGUGGGGUCAAGGAUGGAAUUUGCAUGUAACCCUUAGUUAUGACUUACAGCAAAAGCCAUUUUUUUUUUAGUAGAAUUCUUAGUUCUUUUAUAAUACUCCACUGGGAUAAAAUCUCACAUAAAUCUACCUUUUACUGACUUUGACUCUUUUUUGAUCAUUGUUAAAAUGAAUUUUUAGUGUUGUGGACUUUUAACAUUUUACCAAAAAAAUUGCUCUUGGCUGACAUAGAUUUUUACAUCCUGAAUAUAUUAUAUUUUAUAAUUUUAGAUAAUACAUUUUAGGUAAUAUAGAAGUAUUGUUUCUGGAUUCUUUAUAUCAUGAGAUGGUUUCAUCUGGACUCUUGGCUUAAGUGAGAGAAUAACUUGGCUGAGAGAGCUGCAGUGGUUAGAGGUUGGGUCCUAAUCCCCUCUGCCAUCUACUAACUGAGUGAUUCUAAUUAAUUACUUGGCACCUCUAUUCCUUUGUUUCUGUAUCAGUCUGCUAGGGCUGCCAUAACAGAACAUCACCAACUAGGUGGUUUAAACAACAUAAAUGUAUUUUUUCCAUGUUAUGGAAGCUGGAUGUCUAAGGCCAAGGUGAUAACAGUGUUCAGGCUCUUGACACCAUUGCAAGCAGGAAUUCAAGAAUGAGUCAGAAAAUAGUGACAGUAGGAGAUUUAUUGCAAAGUGAAAAGCAUAUACUCAAGAAAGGGGAUUGUGGGGGUACUUAAGACAGAGUUGUUUGAUGGAGUUUGGAGUUUCUGUCUUUAUGGGCUUCUUUAACCAAGGGGUGGAAUAUUCAUUAAAAUUCCUGGAAAAAUUUAGAGAUUUCUCAGAACUGUGGUGCCACCUAUUUUUUCACACCAAAUAUGGGUGUUCUCAGGACUGUCAUGGCACUGGUGGGUAUGUAAUUGAUAAUGUUAACAAUAAUAUAACGAGGUCCUAGGAGAAAUCUAGGUGAAAUCCAGUGCCAUGUUGGAUCCAGUUGGUCUUAGCCAGCUGGGUCCAUACCUUGGGUUUUGAGGGUCUUAUCAGUUCCUAGCUUCUGCAGCUAUUUCAACAGUUUCCUUUUGCUAGUCAUGCAAAACUGCUGUCUGGAAUUUUCUAUUCUCCUGUGACCACCCUGUAUUAUUCCUGUCUCAAAGGUGCUGGCAGUAUUGGUUUCUGGUAAGACCUCUCUCCUUGUCUUGCAGGCGGCUGUCUUCUCACUAUAUUCUCAUAUGACCUUUUCUCUGUAUGUGCACACUCCUGGUAUCUCUUCCUCUUCUUAUAAGGAUACCUGUCCUGUUGGAUUAGAGUCCCAUCUAUAUAACCUCAUUUAACCUUAAUUACUUACUUAAAGCCCUAUCUUCAACUAUAGUCUAUUGGGGGUUAGGGCUUCAGCAUGUAAAUUUUGGGGGACACAUUCAGUUCAUAACAUUUCACCCUUUGGCUCCCUCAAAAUUCAUGUCCUGUCACAUGCAAAAUACAUUCACUCCAUCCACCCCAACAGCCUCCAAAGCCUUAACCCAUUCCAGCAUCUAAAAUCCAAAGUCUCAUUGAAAUAUGAUAAAAAUCAGAUAUGGGUGAGACUUGAGGUCAUUGUGAGGCAAAAUUCCUCUCUAGCUAUGAACCUGUGAAAUCAGACAAGUUUUGUGCUUCCAAAAUAUAAUAGUGGUACAAGCAUAGGACAGUUUCCUCCUGGCAUUAUAGGGAAGAUUGAAUGGAUUAUAUAUAUGAGAGGCUUGGUGUGUUCUUAUUUUUUUUUUUUUCCGAUGGAGUCUUGCUCUGCUGCCCAGGCUGGAGUGCAGUGGCGUGAUCUCGGCUCACUGCAAGCUCCGCCUCCCGGGUUCAUGCCAUUCUCCUUCCUCAGCCUCCGGAGUAGCUGGGACUACAGGCACCCGCCACCACGCCCGGCUAAUUUUUUUGUAUUUUUAGUAGAGACAGGGUUUCACCGCGUUAGCCAGGAUGGUCUCGAUCUCCUGACCUCGAGAUCCUCCUGCCUUGGCCUCCCAAAGUGCUGGGAUUACAGGCGUGAGCCACCACGCCUGGCCAAGGUGUGUUCUAAGUACCAAUAGAUGUCAGCCAUUAUUAGAGGAGAAGCUUUGGAGUACAUUAAAAAAUUAAGUGUUCUAAAAUACAAGGAGAAAAUGGCUGGGUAUGGUGGCUUAUGCCUGUAAUUCCAGCACUUUGGGAGGCUGAGGUGGGCAGAUCCCCUUAGGUCGGGAGUUCAAGACCAGCCUGGCCAACAUGGUGAAACCCCAUCUCUACUAAAAAUACAAAAAUUAGCUGGGCAUGGUGGCACAUGCCUGUAAUCUCAGGUACUUGGGAGACUGAGGUGGGAGACUCGCUUGAACCCAGGAGAUAGAGGUUGUAGUGAGCUGAGAUCGCAUCAUUGCACUCCAGCCUGGGCGAUAAGAGCGAAACUCUUGUCUUAGAAAAAAUAAAAAAUAAAUAAAAUACAAGAAGAAAACAUUAGUACCUGCUGUGGGUAUUUCUUGACACACAGAACUAUGUGUCUUGGGCUCUAUCUUUAGUAAUCACUCUCCUGCUACAACUGAGCUGCAGUGGAAAGCUCUAACCUAUCUCUGUCAGCCCCUUCCCUACCUCACCCUCCUUCCCAAAGGCAAAAAUGCAGCAGCCUCAAGACCCUGAUAUAUUUUGUCUUGGCUUUAUUUCUCUCUCUCCAAGAGGCAUUGCAAAAUAUUUUCUUUGAGUCUGCCACAUUUCUCCCCAUUACUUUGCUUUUCUCUUCUUAACUCCAAUUUUUAAUUUUAAUGGCAAAAAAGAUUAAAGGAAGUAGUGCAAUAUGUGCAAAAGGGUAAAUUUGGAACUCAGUUAAGAAAAUCUGCUUGAAUGGGGCAAUUUUAAAAGAGUAUGAUGAAACAUGAUAAUUUCUCUGAUUUAAAUAACAUUGUUUGAGGCUGCAUGAGGUACUUGAGGACAAUAAACCAUGUGUCAGUAAUUUUUAUUUUAAUUAAGAAUAAAGCCCUCUAAACCAAAAAUAAAAUUCUAAGCUCCCCAACCAACCCAAUUGACCCUUCCUCUUGGCCAAGGGGAUUCCAAAGUUAACUGGAAAAACUAGUUCAGGCCAUGAUGGGAAAUGGAGGUCAGAUAUGCCUCAUUAAUCCUCCUCCCUUUGGAAUUCAGGCAUAGACGAUCAUCAUUAACUUUAAAAUGGAGACCUUAAGACUGACAAAACAGACUCAUUAAGUCUGAUAAAAACAUUUACAAUCUAUUUUCUCUGAAGCCUGCUACAUGGAGGCUUCAUCUGCAUAAUAAGAACCUUGGUCUCCACAACCCCUUAUCUUAACCCAGACACUCCCUUCUAUUGAUUCCAGGUCUUUGGAUCAACUCUUUCAACCAAUUGCCAGUUGGAAAAUCUUUGAAUUCACCUAUGACCUGGAAGCUCCUAGUUUGAGUUGUCCUGCUUUUCCGGACCAAAACAAUGUACGUCUUACAUGUAUUGACUGAUGUCUUCUGUCUCCCUAAAACAUAUGAAACCAAGUCGUGUCCUGAACUACUUUGGGCACAUGCUCUCAGGAUCUCCUGAGGCUGUGUCAUGGACAUGUCCCUAACCUUGGCAAAAUAAACUUCUAAACUGAUGAAGACUUGUCUCAAAUACCUUUUGGUUUACAGCCCUGACAAUAUUUCGGGAAGGAAGAAACUCCUUCUUGGAUGUGACGCACAUAAUGAAAUCUUCUAUUUAAACUAGUGUAAAACUUAAUUGAGUUGAUCCAGUACUAUCCAAUAGAAAUAAAUUACAAGCCAUAUAGAAAUUUAAAAAUUUCUAGUAGACACAUUUUAAAAAAGUAAAACUAAGUUAUAUUAAUUUUAAUAAUAUGCUUUAAUGUAUCUAAAAUAUUAUUUUGACAGGUAAUAAAUAUAAAAAAUUGAGAUAUUUUACAUUAAAAAAAUUCAAAAUCUUCAAAUUCUAGUGUAUAUUUUAUACUUGUAGGAAAUCACAGUUCUGACAUGAAUUCAUCUCAAUUUCGAAUGUUCAAAAGCCAAACGUGGCUAGUAGCAAUCAUAAUGGACAGUGCAGUUUUAGAACCUGGACCUAGUCUUUUGCCAUGCCUCUGAAUAUGUUCUAUAAAAGUAAGAAACAGUGCUACUGAGGCUUUCUCAACUGACAGUACUGUGUAGUGGUUGAAAGCUUGAAACUUGCUGAUUGCAUGGACUGAGGCAACUUACUUAACCCCUCUAACCCUCAGUUUCCCAAUUUGUGAAAUGGAGAUGAUAAUAAUAAUCCAUUACUUCAAAGCGUUGUUUUAAGUAUUAAAUGCAUGGAAAUUAUUUGGAGUUGAACCUAGACAGAGUAGACUCUUAACAAAUAUUUGCUGUUAUUUUUGGUAGAAAUGAUUAUGAUGUUGAAAAAUUGUUAUUAACAGUAAAAUCAGACUGGACAUGGUGGCUCAUGUCUGUAAUCCCAGCCCUUUGGGAGGCCAAGGUGGGAGGACUACUUGAGCCCAGGAGUUCAAGACCAGCCUGGGCAACAGAGGGAGACCCUGACUCUACAAAACACAAAAAAAUUAGUCAGGUGUGGUGAUAUGUGCUGUGGUUCUAGUUACUCAGAAGGCUGAGAUGAGAGAAACACUUGAGUCCAGGAGGCUGAGGCUGCAGUGACCUGUGAUAGUGCUACUGCACUCCAGCCUUGACAACAGAGUGAGUACCUGUCUGAGGUGGGUGGAUCACGAGGUCAGGAGAUCCAGACCAUCCUGGCUAACACAGUGAAGCUCCAUCUCUACUAAAAAUACAAAAAAAAAAAAAAGUAGCCGGGCAUGGUGGCAGGCGCCUGUAGUCCCAGCUACUCGGGAGGCUGAGGCAGGAGAAUGGGGUGAACCCAGGAAGGGGAGCUUGCAGUGAGUCAAGAUCGCACCAGUGCACUCCAGUCUGGGUGACAGAGCGAGACUCCGUCUCAAAAAUAAAUAAAUAAAUAAAUAAAUUAAUUAAUUAAAUAAAAAUAAAAAUUAGUAAAUAAAAAAAAAUAGUAAAAUCAUGCCAAAUAUUUCUGUAAUAUUUGGAAGAAUUAGAUUCCUUACUACUCAAAGACACUGACAAUGUCCCUUAUCCUUAGAAAAUUUACAUAUGCAUAGUUUAGAGUAGCGUUUCUCAACCUUUUUGGUCUUAGGAUCCCUUUAUACCCCUAACACUUAUUAAGAACCUGCCCUCCCACUCCUGGCCAAACUGUUUAUUUAGGUUGAAGGAACAUUUUAAGAUCCCCUUCAGAUAAUUGUGAUCUGUCCUCUUUUAUACUACAUGAAUACUCAACAAGCAGUAGUUUCUUAAAAGUUUGGUGCAAUACAGAAUCCAAAAGCAUUUCAGUGUAAUUUUCAUAUUCUGUCAAAUUAAAAUCCAUUGAUCUAUCUUAUAUCUUGAAUAUAUCUUUUAUCCCUGCAUGAUUUUAUAUCAUAAUGCAUUGGUCACAUAGAAAAUAUUGGUUCACCAAGUUCAUUCAAAUUUUAACGUAUUUCGUUAUACAAUAUCAAAAAGUCACAUUUGUUAACAUCUUCACCUAUAUCAUCAGAAAAAUCUUUAAUCGUUGGAAACCAUCAAACUAAUAGUAAAAAAUACAAGUUUCCCAGAAUUCUGAUAUUCCCUUGAAAGCUUGAAUCUUAUUGGUACCAAAUAAUGUCAAUUAUUUUAUUUCCUUCCUUCCUUCCUACCGUCUUUCCUUCCUUUCUUCCUUCCUUCCUUCCUUCCUUCCUUCCCUCCUUCCUUCCUUCUUUCCUUCUCUUCUUCCUUUCUUUUGUUUGUUUUUAUUUUUCUUUUUAUUUUUUUUGAGACAGGGUCUUGCUCUGUCUCCCAGGAUCCAGGAUGGAGUGCAGUGGCAUGAUCAUGGCUCACUGUAGCCUCGAACUUCCUGCUUCAGCCUCCUGAGUAGCUGGAACUACAGCUUUGACUCCACAGAUGUAAAAGGAUCAGACUCCUAGGAGUUUGUGAACCACACUUUGAGAACUGCUGGCCUAGAGAAAUAUCUUAGAAAAUUGUGAAGGACAUUAACUGUUUCAACUGCCUAGAGUAUCCCUUUCUUCAGGUAAGUGUUCUUUCCUCUGCUUUAAGCAACUAGUUUCAAUGGCGGUGGCUAUUUUCCUAUGGAGGCUGCCUCCUACCCUAUGGGUGACUGGUAUAGGGUAGACACCAGCCUCUUUAUAUUCAGUAUACUUUCUCAGAAUUCUUAAACUUGGAACCAGAAAAUGUCACUAAUAGUUGCUCUCUGGGAACAAAGUUAUGAAGUUCUGGCAUUUUGGUGAACCACCCAAGCAUGUAGAAAAAGCUAGUCUAAAAUAGGAUAGAUAAACCCAACUCUCAGAGAGAACCAGAAAUGGGAGAAGGCUUGGUAGCAUUCCAGUCCCUGGUUCCACUUGUCCUUGAGGCUCGACCACAUUCUUGCCCUUCCUGCUACUCUGUAAGCAUUUUGAUAAAUUUCCCUUGCCUCUAAACACUUUAUAUUUUCACAAACUUUAUGAGUUUGUCCAACUGUCUUUUUUUCUGAACACUUUUGCUAGCAUCAGUUGUUACACAGUUUAGUAGAUUCCACUUCAGAUUACGCUGAAUUUGAGUUUUCUCGACUUUGAAAAUAUUCUUGACUGCAGUUUUACUCAGACCAUUCAUAGAGGCUAUGAAUUCAUGUUAUUCACUUCAAAGUCAGUAUUAAAUUAUCAAAUAAACAUCAACAACUGAAUAGUGUUUGGUAACAACUGUCAACUCAUCAAGAGCCAAAGAAAAACACUAGAAAUUAUUUUCCUUCUUUCUUAAUUUAUCCAAAAUUGACUCCCAACAUCCUCAACUUAUUAAGCAACUGUUCUCACAGAAAGAUUAAUAAUCUAAACAAGUUUACUUUCUUUGUACAUCUUUUUUUUGCUGUUAUUGUUGCUACAAUUGAAUAAAAUAUAAUUAACUUGCACCUGGUAAAUGGCUUUUCUUGCUUGACUAAAAACCAAACUACUUGGAAACUUACUUUGGUUGAAGAUUCAUUUCAGACUUUUGUGGGAAAAAUCUACUGAGAUAUUUUGUUUUGAAGUUUCAAAUUUUUCUGACUCAGGGAGUAUUGUACAUCAAAGAUAGUGUGGCAAUUAUUUAGUCUGGUACUGUAGACCUAUGUUGUAUUCUUCUAAAGUAGCAAUGACAUAAUAACAUGUAUAAAACACAAUGCUUACAAUUGAUUUAGAUAACAAAAUAAUCUACUUUCCAUUCUAUUUUUAAAAUGUGAUAUUCAAAAUCUGUUUUUCUCUUCAUUUUCUUGUUUGUUUUAUUUUGGCAAGAUGCGUAUGCAAUAACAAUAAAAAAAUAAGAUAAAACGCAGUGGUAUGUGCUGAAUGUGUCCUCUAAAGAGCAUGUAUUGAAAUUUCAAUUCUUAAUGCAUUGUGUUGGGAGA
rnacentral:lncRNA from 1 species